GCAACUACAAAGACUUUAUGGCACGUAUUCGUCAAGUUACUGAAGCCCUCAAUUGGGAAUUGUUUUGUGAAAAGAGGCCUAGUGUGGAUGAGGAACUAGCUCGUGAAUUCUACGUGAAUUUAACCUCAAGCGAUUUGACAGAAGUUCCAGUUCGCGGAAUCAAGGUACCAAUAAGUUCAAAUGCUAUUAAUGAGUUCUUUGAAUUACCUGAUUUCG
rnacentral:lncRNA from 1 species